UAAGAAGAGAGAAUGCCGGAAUGAGUAGCGAGAGGAAGGUGAGAAUCCUUCCGGCCGAAUAUCUAAGGUUUCCAGAGUAAAGCUGAUCUGCUCUGGGUAAGUCGGGGCCUAAGGCGAGGUCGAAAGACGUAGUCGAUGGAUAACAGGUAAAGAUUCCUGUACUAUAUCAUAACAGAACUGUGGGGACGCAGACAGAGAGCAUAAGCCGGGAAUGGAAAAACCGGUACAAGCGAGGUAGGAGUGCAUCAGGCAAAUCCGGUGCACAAUCUGAAGACGUGAUGUGGGGCGUAAAGCCAUAAGUAUGUGAGCUGGCUGCCAAGAAAAGCCGCUAUUGUUUAUGAUAUACCCGUACCGUAAACCGACACAGGUGGAUGAGGAGAGAAUCCUAAGGCCGACGGGAGAAGCAUUGUUAAGGAACUCGGCAAAAUGACUCCGUAACUUCGGGAGAAGGAGUGCCAUGUAAAAGUGGCCGCAGAGAAUUGGCCCAAGCAACUGUUUAGCAAAAACACAGGUCUAUGCAAAACCGAAAGGUGAGGUAUAUGGGCUGACGCCUGCCCGGUGCUGGAAGGUUAAGGGGAGAGGUUAG
rnacentral:rRNA from 1 species